AGUGAACGCUGGCGGUAGGCCUAACACAUGCAAGUCGAACGGCAGCACAGGAGAGCUUGCUCUCUGGGUGGCGAGUGGCGGACGGGUGAGGAAUACAUCGGAAUCUACUCUGUCGUGGGGGAUAACGUAGGGAAACUUACGCUAAUACCGCAUACGACCUACGGGUGAAAGCAGGGGAUCUUGGACCUUGCGCGAUUGAAUGAGCCGAUGUCGGAUUAGCUAGUUGGCGGGGUAAAGGCCCACCAAGGCGACGAUCCGUAGCUGGUCUGAGAGGAUGAUCAGCCACACUGGAACUGAGACACGGUCCAGACUCCUACGGGAGGCAGCAGUGGGGAAUAUUGGACAAUGGGCGCAAGCCUGAUCCAGCCAUACCGCGUGGGUGAAGAAGGCCUUCGGGUUGUAAAGCCCUUUUGUUGGGAAAGAAAUCCAGCCGGCUAAUACCUGGUUAGGAUGACGGUACCCAAAGAAUAAGCACCGGCUAACUUCGUGCCAGCCGCCGCGGUAAUAC
rnacentral:rRNA from 1 species